GACGUAGGGGGCCAGCGUUGCUCGGACUUACUGGGCGUAAAGGGUUCGUAGGCGGUGUGGCAAGUCGGAAGUGAAAUCUCCAGGCUUACCUUGGAGGCUGCUCCCGAAACUGCCAUGCUAGAGUGCGGGAGAGGCCAGUGGAAUUGCAGGUGUAGCGGUGAAAUGCGGAGAUAUCUGCAGGAACACCCGUGGCGAAGGCGGCUGGCGGGACCGCAACUGACGCUGAGGCGCGAAAGCGUGGGUAGCAAACGGG
rnacentral:rRNA from 1 species